rnacentral:lncRNA from 1 species
AUAAAGAUUGAAAUGCUCUCACCUCUUGUGUGUCUUGGGAGCAGGUUUCUCAGUCUUCUUGGGGUUGGGGUCUGCACGGAUGGCUGCAUGAACCUUCUUGUACAACUCCUCCAUGCUCUCGGCAUCAACUCCUUUCUUCAAGUACUGACUGAAGUGAGUCUGAAACUUCUCUGGCUCAUCCUCGUUCAACAUCUUCAUGUAGUUUGAGACGUGACCACCAUAGAUGUAGUUCCUGUGGAUCUCAGCAUCGAGCUGUUUGUUCUCCUUGUUGAAACCUGCAAAUCUCUUGUCACUGUGAGGGAUAUCAAGUCCUCCGUCCAACGCACCCUACAGUUAAACCAUAAACAAACCCAAAAGAAUAUUAAAGCUUGUCAUGUAAACACAAUACAACAGAUAAGAACAAUGAUAAAACAUUACAGCAAUUUAUAUACCUUGAGUGCACCGAAGACACGGUUCCCGGUGGUGGUUCUGAUAAGACCAACAUCAAGAAGAGCACGGAAUGGUCUCCUGGACUCGGUUGGCUCAACGGAAAAGUCCUCUCCGGUAGCCUGUUCAUGAUUUUGUACGGUUAGAGAUCACAGCAAGAGAUAAAGCUCAAACCAGAUACAAGAAACAAAAGCACCAACAAACCUCAAGGUUGCCCUCGUACUCUUCAUCCAUUUCCAACAUCUUCAGAACACGGCGAGCCAAUAGAAGCCCGGUGCAGUAAGCUGUGUUUCACAAGGGUACUAACUAUUUAGCAAGACAGAACAAAACAACUAUAACAAGAAAACUAAAGCAAACGACUGAUCAGUACCAGCAGCGUAGUUAGUAAGACCAACGGUGAGACCAUACUGAGGCAGCUCAUGAGCGUAAGCAGAAGCCUUGACAAUGUCACCGGCGAUGCUUGCGGACACGAUCUGUGCGACUAUGUCUUUGUUGGUGAAGCGGACAACAAAACGGUACUUUGGUGUGUUGUACUUGUUCUUGUCUUGGUUGAUGAGACGGAUCCUUGCUCUGUAGUCAGUCUUACCAUCUGCACAAAAAUGAACAAACUAUCAGAACGGGUUGAACACAGACAAUAUCAACAAGAAAGUAAUGCAGAGUCAAAUAAAAAUACCUCUCCUUCUCCUGAACUUGACUUGGUACCUCUUGAAGUAAGCGUUCGACUUGGAUGGCUUCACAAACACCUAUCAAUAUAAAAAAAAAAAUCUUAUAUCGUUAAACUAUCAUAUAAAGCCCAAGUUCUAACGAUGAAGCUGUUCUUCCUAAAGAAGCAAAGAUCUAUGUGAAAGAUCGUAAAGGUACAGCCUUUAAACAUCAAGACCAAAACCCAUUAAGAUUAUAGCAGAGCUCAAGAAUUCUCGUUACCAAAGCUCAGACAAAUAUGAAAAUAUCUAAAGAAACGCUGGAGAAAACUAAUGUAGGAGAUUUCCAUAUUAAACGAAAUGAAAAGCAGAAUCUUAUUGUUUGAGAAAAUUAAGAAGAAAAUAAGAAGGCGGAGAGAUGGAAGCUAGGGCGUACCAUUGUUUGAAGCUAAGCGGAAGCUUUGGGUGUGAGCUGAGAGUGUCGUGAAGACAAGAGGCGGAACAUAAACCAAAAUGCAAGAUCUUAUAAUGAAAAACCCUAGAUCACUCCUUCUUGGGCUCUCUCCCUUUAUUCCACGGCCACGAUUUAUCUGGGCUUAAUCAUGUUCUUACGGUCUACAUCGGUAUAAUGAUUCUGCAAGGGCUCAUUAGUCUUUAUAUUUGGGCUUUUGUCUUCCCAAACUAUUCUGAGUUAAGCUUAUUUAGCUCGAAAAUGUUUUAUAAAAAUGCAAUAACUCAACAAUAUUUUAUUUUAUUAGUUUCUGAUAUUUUUUUUUUGUCAACAAGAGUUUCUAAUUAUUUAUCUGAUGCAAAUAUGUGUUGGACUAUUAUCUUAAUAUUUUGGGUGUGACAUUAUUAUGAGACUUUUUCUGUAAUGAUGGUAUUUUUUUUGAAACAGAGUACAAAUGAUGGAAACUGAAUAAUAUGCGGUAGCUUAAAACAAAUGUACAACUUAGAGCAUCUUUAACGGAUAGCUUAGGAAGGGGGUGCAUAGGAAAAAUUAGUUUAAUAGUCGGUGGGCUCCAUCCAAAUGUAACAGCCGCUGCUUGAUACUCCCAGAUAAGCGUCGAAUUAUGUGGGUUGUUUGUAUUGUCCGUGGACUCCACCGACAUGUGGCGGUCCGCGAUAGUUUUUUUUUCUUAAAUCAGAUUAAAAAAAUUAAAAAAAUAAGCACCCCCUAAUGGGGUGCUGCGUUAUGCUCUUAGAAAUUUGUAACUAGUUUGUGUAGUUCUUGAACAUGUGGCUCAGGGCUGGUAAUUUGUGUAGUUCUUGAGAAUGUGGCUCAGGGCUGGUAAUUUGUGUAGUUCUUGAGCAUGUGGCUCAUGACUGGUAAUCAGUGUUUUAGUGUAACUAAAUCAUCAAUAUGGUCUGCAGCAAUAUAUAGCUACGACUUGAAUGUAGUAACUGUGAUUUCUAGAUUAAGUGUGGGAAUUCCACCAAUAUUAUAUCUUGGUCUUUUCCUUACCACCAAAACAGUUACCAGUCAUGAUUAUAAAACCCACAACCGCCUAUCCACUUGAAAGAAUUUGAAACCUCUUUCAUACAGGCAGAUCACAAUUCAUAAAAUGUAUAUCAUUUUUAGCUGCUGGUGCUCGGUUUCUGGGAUUCCAAAGACCUACCAUGGGACCUUUGUGAUGCUGUGUAUUCUCAUGGUCAUGAACUCAUAGUAAAUAUUUUUUCUUUUGUUUGAGACAUGUAAAUACUUUUUUUUUUGUUUCCUUAAGGUGAAGGAGGAUUUGGUACCUCGAAACUAAGAGAAUUGACAAAGCUUUUUUUUUCUUAGGCUGAAUUGGUAUCCUAUAUUCCUAUGGUGCAUUACAAUUCAACGAACUGUAUCCAUUCCAGCAAUGUAAAUAUUUUGUUUGAGACAUCAUCUUUCUCAUAACUGUUAGUCGAUAAAUUUUCAUUAGAAAAAGGAGAGUUCAAUAAAUUUAAACCCUAUAGUACCAUAAAAAACAUUAUGCAAAAUCAAAUGCUGUGAAAUGUGCAUGUGUGACUAAGGAGAGCGCUAAUGCCAUUUGCUAUAGGAUCUGUAGAAUGGAAAGAAACAAUAUGUAACGUGAAUAUUGCAACAAUGACUUUCUGAUUAGUGAUUGAUGAAGUAGGGAAGGUAUGUAAGGCUUUGCAACGUGUGAUCGUGAGAUUGAUCGUUUAGCUGAAUAAUAAGCUUCUGGAAUAGUUAACCAGAGGCUUUCUAGACUAAAAGACUUGAUUCGUGAUGAUCAACAUAUUUAAGAAACAUAAAGAGCGUAAUCAGACCAGCUAAACCAACAAUGCUAACCAAUAUUAAUUAAUAAUAAAAAAAAAGAAAAAAAUUGAUUCAUAAUCGUUUGGAACACCCUCAUUAGACAUCACUUUUUGCUUUCUUAAUUUCAGAUAAAGAGUUAAAAGUCUAUUUUGCAUACUCAAGAUUUUUAUGUAUUGUCUAAUCCAUUGAAUUGUUCGAAAGGUUAUAUCAGACUCUGAUAAUGAAUGAUUGAUUGGUUGAGCAAUGAACAUUAAAGUACGCAUAAGAUCAAACUAUAAAAAUUCCAAAAUCAUGAAAAUGUCAAAAAAAAAAUUAACUUCUUGAUAGAAAAUAGCAAUUCUCAUACUCAAAACGGACAUAAAAUGUGAAAACACGAGCUUAAUGUUUUAAGUCUGGCAAAAAUGUAAAAAGCUACAAGAGACAUCAGGAGAAAGGCUUAUGACGCUCUACUCUUCGUCGUCCUCAUCAUCAUCAUCACCACCAGCUGCUCCGUUCAAUGCCUUAACUCUCUCGAUCAACUUGUUCUUCCUCUCCUCGUAGGUCAACUUCUUCAAG